UCCUGCUUUGGCCUCCCAAAGUGCUAGGAUUGCAGGUGGGAACCACCACACCUGGCCCCUCAUCAUCCACUCUAAAUUCCCGUCCCCCUCAGCUAGUAUCUCCACUGGUCUCCAUGGCUUACCCUGUGCCUUGUACACCAAAGAUCUGAGCCCUUGCCUGAGCACCAAGCCCUUCUCACGCCAGGGCUGCUGCACUUGCUUGUUUAUUGUCACAAGUGGGCAAGGGAGUACUGAGCAGCAGCCGAGUGAAUGACUCUGGGCCAAGAUGAUGACUCCUCUUCCUGCCUUCUGGUCCUUGCAUUUGAGGGGCCCAAAGUGCCCAGGUGGCGGCUAUCCAUUAUAGCUCAGUGGGACUCUUGCUGUGGCCUCUGAUGGAAGACUCCCCCUUUGGGGACAAAGACCUCUAACCCUACAGAGGCUAGAGUCACAGCUCCACAUAAAUGUCUUUGAUUCAAGAUAUAUGAACCCCAUCCUCAUAAAGUCCUGCCUCCACGCUGGUGCUCCCAGUGGCCCUUUAGUAGGCCAACAGCCCUGGGAUGACACAGUCUGUGACUUGCUUAGGGAAUCUUGUGAUCACAAACUCACUUCUGUAUCUCCUUUGCAGUGAAUUGGGUUCCUGGACUGAUGCGAUGUUACAGGAGAUACUGUGGUAGUGAAUCAGGUACUUGGUAAAUCCUCAGAUAGCAGUGCUGACUAAGGUCCUGUGGGCAGGAAACGGAAACAGUACUCGAAAUGUGUGUAUUUCCCUGGCAGGUUGAAUCACAGCUUUUUCAGGAUAGAAGGGGUUCAAUGGAGUCAACUUGCCAGCUGGUCUCCUGGAGGAAUAAUGCCACAUCAGGGGCUCAUUUGGCAGCAGCAGUAAUUGGAUCAGCCUUUAUGCUGAAAUCCCAAAUGAUAACAGAGUGACAGACUUUAAGGCCCAUUUUUCUGUGAGGAUUCAUCAUUUUCUUAUGGAUAUUUGAGUUCUUAAGACAUUAAAG